rnacentral:rRNA from 1 species
CCUGGCUCAGGACGAACGCUGGCGGCGUGCCUAAUACAUGCAAGUAGAACGCUGAAGGAGGAGCUUGCUCUUCUGGAAGAGUUGCGAACGGGUGAGUAACGCGUAGGUAACCUGCCUGGUAGCGGGGGAUAACUAUUGGAAACGAUAGCUAAUACCGCAUAAUAUUGAAUAUCGCAUGAUAAUUGAUUAAAAGAUGCAAUUGCAUCACUACCAGAUGGACCUGCGUUGUAUUAGCUAGUAGGUGAGGUAACGGCUCACCUAGGCGACGAUACAUAGCCGACCUGAGAGGGUGAUCGGCCACACUGGGACUGAGACACGGCCCAGACUCCUACGG